GAUGAACGCUGGCGGCGUGCUUAACACAUGCAAGUCGAACGGAAAGGCUCCUGCUUGCAGGGGUACUCGAGUGGCGAACGGGUGAGUAACACGUGGGUGAUCUGCCCUGCACUUCGGGAUAAGCCUGGGAAACUGGGUCUAAUACCGGAUAGGACCACAUUUUGGAUGGUGUGGUGGAAAGUUUUUCGGUGUGGGAGGAGCUCGCGGCCUAUCAGCUUGUUGGUGGGGUAAUGGCCUACCAAGGCGUCGACGGGUAGCCGGCCUGCGAGGGUGUACGGCCACACUAGAACCGAGAUACAGCCCAGACUCCUACAGGAGGGAGCAGUGGGGAAUAUUGCACACUGCGAGCAAGCCUGAGGCAGGGACGCCGCGUGGGGGUUGACGGCCUUCGGGUUGUAAACACCUCUCGCUAGGGACGAAGCGUUUUUGUGACGGUACCUGGAGAAGAAGCACCGGCUAACUACGUG
rnacentral:rRNA from 1 species